rnacentral:other from 1 species
UGGGCCCUGGUUUGCACGCGGACUUGGCAGCGUAUUUCUCUGACCUUCGUUUUUGGACGGGAGCCUAAAGCGCGCGGCAUGCGUGCCGUGCGUGGGGGCACCCACUUGGAACAUGAGGUUCCAGGGAUUCUGUGCUACGGCAAACCGGGGUUCUU